AAUCUUGGACAAUGGGCGAAAGCCUGAUCCACCCAUGCCGCGUGUGUGAAGAAGGUAUUCGGAUUGUAUAGCACUUUAAGUUGGGAGGAUGGGCAGUAAGUUAAUACCUUGCUGUUUUGACGUUACCCACAGAAUAAGCACCGGCUAACUUCGUGCCAGCAGCCGCGGUAAUACGAAGGGUGCAAGCGUUAAUCGGAAUUACUGGGCGUAAAGCGAGCGUAGGUGGUUUGUUAAGUUGGAAGUGAAAGCCCCGGGCUCAACCUGGGAACUGCUUUCAAAACUGGCAGGCUAGAGGAUGGCAGAGGGUGGUGGAAUUUCCUGUGUAGCGGUGAAAUGCGUAGAUAUAGGAAGGAACACCAGUGGCGAAGGCGACCACCUGGGCUAAUACUGACACUGAGGUGCGAAAGCGUGGGGAGCAAACA
rnacentral:rRNA from 1 species